GUGAGAGCGGACGUAGAGGCUGAGGCUCCGUGCUGAGUGCAGGUUCAGAUGUCGACCAUCACUCCCGAUAAAGCGCCUCAUCUGUCAAAGGUUUGGAUCGCACUGAGGCGGUUCGACAGAAACGAUUCUCACCAAUACCUUUGGGCUGAACACUUCUAAUGUUGUAUUCAAGAUAAGGAACCACCGUGGCUGUCUGAUCCCCCUGAACAGCUCCAUCCCUGCUAACAGCAAGCAUGUACCUUACGUGCUUGAGGUAGCCAAGAUUUUUCAGCAUGUGCAACCCAGGCCCAGAACCAUUCCCAUGAUUGUUAUCAACAAGAGCAUGAAGACCAGACUGCAGACUAUUGACAGGAGGAUUCAGAGACUGAACGACCUUCUACCUCAGAUCAAACUCAGGCACAAUGAAAAGCUCAGCCAGGAGAUUGAAUGUCUCAGCCAAAAGUUGAAGUUUCUCCAUAAGAGAAUGCAGGUGGCAGAUUCUCACAGCUGGAAAGGCAUGCUGACCAGAGCCCCUCUGUGGUAAACAUCCACAUUUCCGGCAGACAGAUCGCGGCCCUACGUCAAGCCUUGUUUACAGUGUGUUCACCCACAUCUGUCAUUCAUGUUGAGAUUUCAAACACAUUCGGUGGUCAACCUGGUGGGAAUCUGGACAGAAUAUCUUCUUUAUACAUUCAAAUCACACACUCAUCUCUCUGACCUUCAGGGUAUAGCUAAUAGAGUAAUUACAAUACUGUGCUUUUCUGUACAGCUCUACUGAAAAUGUAGUGAAAAAAUCCCUGUCACCUCGGUGUAAUUUAGUUAUAGCAUACAGUAAAGCACCAAAUACUUUGUUCUCAUGCCACAUUUUGAUUUUUAGUGAACCAUUAUUUCACCAAUAGGUUUCUUCUGGCUGGAAAUGGCAUAAAUAAAACAGUAAGAUGUUGUGUUAAAGGUGUUAAUGGUGAAUCUUAACUUUUUCUAUGUUUUUGUUUAAAUUAUUAUUCUUAAUUUACCCAAAAAUGCCAUGACCACAAUUAUUCAUGUACAUUGUAAUUGGCAGAUUUUUUUUUUUUAAUUAAAUGCAGCUUCUGUAGCAUUUCAAAUGAUCCCUGUAAUCUACAUCAUUUUCUAUAUUUUUCUGAUAAUAUUUUUCUAAAAUCAUGGCUAAACUAAAGAGCAAUCAGUGAGCUUGACAGGUAUCCCCAUCACUUGGAUGGAGCUGCAUGUUGUGGCUGCUCACGAGGCAAAGAAAGAUUAUAAAAUCAUAUCCAGGUAUCAUUAAGUGCCAUUGGCCACUGAUGAAGCAUCAUCAAAAAGUACAGGGACAAAGACUGCAAAGUCAAAUCUCAAAGGCCAUGGUAGGAAGCCAAAAGGGAGCCCUGCAUUGUCAAGAAGGUAGAGGUCAAGAAGAAUCCACUAAUCAAAACUAUUCUGAUUAAUCUGUGCAGUUGUAGUACCAACAAUUCAAUCAGACACUCCAGCAGACACUGAACAAGGCUGGUCUGCAUGGAAGGGAACCAAAGAGGACUCCAGUUCUCUAAGACGUGCAUACAGUGAAAGAAAAGAGAAGCAUUCAACCCAAGUACGCCAUACCCAUAGUCAAACAUGGUGGGAAUGUCAUGCUUUGGCAGAUAGAUCAGCAUUAUAACACAAAUACAGCAUUAUAACAAAGAAGGAUGACAUUACGAUUGUGAAGAAAAACAUCAAGCAGUCUGCAAAAACACUAGUAUCUCAGACAUACAGCCAAUGGGGUCAAGAAAUGUUUAACAGAAAACAAUAUAAACGUGUUGGAGCAGUCCCGUCCUGAAUCUAAUCAAGAAUCUGUGAAAGGAGCUGAAGACCAGAAUGACCCCUCAAAGACCUGGACAUCAUCACAAAAAGGAGUGGAAUAAAGUCCCAGUGGAGACAUUCAGAAAGAUUGUUAAAAGAUUUAAGAACUGUUUGGUGAAUAUGAUGUGAAUGACUACUGAGAAAGGGUAUGAAUAAUUUUGGACAUUGGUGUUAUAGUAAAAAUGUAAAAAUAUACAAAGAAAUAGCUCAAGCAUAUAAUAUACAUAUCUAACUUAACAUCUUACUGUCUUUUCAAAGGUCAUUUUUUUUCUUGCUGUCUGGUGGUGAAUAACGUGGGGCUUAAACUGUAUCUGUGAUACUUUCACAUUGGGCCUUACAAGAACUUGCCAUGGUUAACAGCAAGAAGCAAACUCAUUUUGACUGUUGGAUGAUGAUGGACCAAAUGUGACCUCCAAUUGUGUGUAGCAUGAAAUGAAUUCAAUAAAAAAGAGAAGGUGAGAUAGUCAUUUCUUAAAAAAAAAAAAAAAAACUGUCUAAUAUGCAGAAAAUCACAGCACAGCCUCAAGAACCAGAGUUGUAUACUACAUACUGAUUCUCAGCAUACUUUGAAUGUGUACACUGAUCAGCCACAGCACUUAAAAUACACAGGUGAAGUGAAUGACACUGAUCAUCUUGUUGCAGCUCUUUCUUGUAGAAAAUCAUAGAAACCAACAACACAAAAGUAAAGAUUAUUUAAAGAAUUAGUGUACUUGCUCAGAGUGAUUAUUUUAUCCUUUUUCUGGAUGUCAUCGGUCUUACAAAUCGUGUCACGUGCUAUGGAAGUGUUUGAAAUUGAGUCAAACUUACACUUCAGCACAAAAAAAAAAAAAAAAAAGAUGUGACAGCUUAUAAAAUGCUAACAUUGGGGUUUGUAAAAAAAAAAAAAAAAUCAAAAACAAAACAUACUGUAGACUGCAAGUGUAGCAUCUCCACUCAUUUAACUGUUCACACUUCAACUCCUAGUCUGAUAAAGUUCUGUGCACUUUCAGGCUCCAGUUAAGUCAUGUAGCUCUCCUUCAAAGCAUUCUCUUUAAAUCCAUUUAGAAGCUCUUCCUCAGGCAAUAGUCAAAAAGGUAUUUCAUAGAGGCAGUAAUCAGCUGAAAUCAUUAUCACGUGCUGGUCAGCAGCUAGCAAGUAAAAAACAAAACGUGAUCA
ensembl:lncRNA